rnacentral:sRNA from 1 species
AGUUCUCUGCCUGCCCAGACUAGCUGCACCUCCUCAUUCCCUGCGCCCCCUUCCUCUCCGGAAGCCCCCAGGAUGGUGAGGUAAGGGCCUGCCACCCACGGUAGACAGGAGGCAAGGGUGCCUGGUGGCCACGGGACCCCUCCUCACUGCCCUGCCUGGGCCGCCCAGGUGGUUUCACCGAGACCUCAGUGGGCUGGAUGCAGAGACCCUGCUCAAGGGCCGAGGUGUCCACGGUAGCUUCCUGGCUCGGCCCAGUCGCAAGAACCAGGGUGACUUCUCGCUCUCCGUCAGGGUGGGGGAUCAGGUGACCCAUAUUCGGAUCCAGAACUCAGGGGAUUUCUAUGACCUGUAUGGAGGGGAGAAGUUCGCGACUCUGACAGAGCUGGUGGAGUACUACACUCAGCAGCAGGGCGUCCUGCAGGACCGCGACGGCACCAUCAUCCACCUCAAGUACCCGCUGAACUGCUCCGAUCCCACUAGUGAGAGGUGGUACCAUGGCCACAUGUCUGGCGGGCAGGCAGAGACGCUGCUGCAGGCCAAGGGCGAGCCCUGGACGUUUCUUGUGCGUGAGAGCCUCAGCCAGCCUGGAGACUUCGUGCUGUCUGUGCUCAGUGACCAGCCCAAGGCUGGCCCAGGCUCCCCGCUCAGGGUCACCCACAUCAAGGUCAUGUGCGAGGGUGGACGCUACACAGUGGGUGGUUUGGAGACCUUCGACAGCCUCACGGACCUGGUGGAGCAUUUCAAGAAGACGGGGAUUGAGGAGGCCUCAGGCGCCUUUGUCUACCUGCGGCAGCCGUACUACGCCACGAGGGUGAAUGCGGCUGACAUUGAGAACCGAGUAUUGGAACUGAACAAGAAGCAGGAGUCCGAGGAUACAGCCAAGGCUGGCUUCUGGGAGGAGUUUGAG